CUCAUACAAUAUGUAUUCAAUAUUAUAAAUGAACAAUUAGUUUAAACAAAUGUAUAUAUAUAUAUAUACCUGAAUGCAUAGUCCUAGGCUUAUACCAUGAUAAUACUCAAAUUCCAGAUUUUAAACUCAAUGAGACAAAUUUUUAUAACAAGAAACGGAGGCACUGAUAUCAAGAAUUUCAUUAAACGUGUGUUACAAAGACUUUUCAGUAACUUGCUAUCUUCAAAAGGUCCAUAGACAGGUUAUGUCCUUAUCCUAACCCUAUGUUUAUGAGCAUCAUGAAAGAUUUGUCUAGAAACAAAUUCAAUUCAUCAGAUCACGAUUUUGAGUUACAUGUAAAAGACUGGUUUUCAUCACGGCUAACAGUAAUCUAUAAUAGUUCAACUGACACAAAAGACAGAUUUCCUAGUUAUCUACUUUCAAAGGAGAAGAUUUUUUCACAUGGUUUAUUUAGAAUAAACUAAUACAUAAAUAUAUAUUAUAAGAUCAUAUUCAAAAAAUGAUGUAGGUAUAGGUACUCAUUAUAAUAAUAAUUAUAACAAUAAUAGUUUAUUACAACAACAACAAGUUAACAUAAUUUUAAAAUACGAGUAUAAAAUACGAAAUGUUGCAACUCCUUCUGUAAGUUAAAAACUUCAAUACGAAUUAGUUAACUCUAAUUCAAAUUAUCAUUAAAAAUAUAACAAAAUGUAAACAAUAUCAUAAUAAAGCUAACACAUUUUUAAAUUUAAAUACGGAAGAUUAUACAAAACAAAAAACUAUCUAAGAUAUAACACUUAAUACAUGAUUAGUAUAUGAAAUAAAUGGAAUAAAAGAAAAUAGAUUAAAGUGAAAAUCAUUGGGUACUAGG